rnacentral:rRNA from 1 species
UACGAAGGGGGCUAGCGUUGUUCGGAUUUACUGGGCGUAAAGCGCACGUAGGCGGAUCGUUAAGUUAGGGGUGAAAUCCUGGAGCUCAACUCCAGAACUGCCUCUAAUACUGGCGAUCUAGAGUCCGGAAGAAGUGAGUGGAACUCCUAGUGUAGAGGUGGAAUUCGUAGAUAUUAGGAAGAACACCAGUGGCGAAGGCGGCUCACUGGUCCGGUACUGACGCUGAGGUGCGAAAGCGUGGGGAGCAAACAGG